rnacentral:lncRNA from 1 species
GGUUGAUAUUGCUGCAUGCUGAUCAGUCACUGCUUUGAAGAAUAAACUAUGAAUAGCUCCAUUUAUUUAAAAACAAUCCCUUCUACUGGCCCACAAUGGCCAUUAGAAGCCUGCAGUAAUCUCCACUCAUGUCACUUGCAAUCAUUGUGCCCAGGGUCUUCUGAUACAUCUGAUGGAACAUCUGUUUUAUUUGUACAAGAUCAAUCUCACUGCGAGUGACCAUAAUCCUGACCAGGGUAGAGUCAUCUGUGCCAGCACCUUUCAUGGAAUAGUACAGUCUCUCAGCAAAGAAGGCAGGGCAGUUCAGGGCACACUGCAAGCUAACACUGCUGAACGAAUCUCGAUUAGCCAUCCUGGAAUAAGCCUCCAUGGUAGCUUUCAGCUGAGGAAAGCUUCUUGUGGCAAGAAUCAUAUUAAAGGAAGAUUCACCUGUCCCCAGUCUCCCUUCACCAGCUUGAUAGAGAUGCUGAACAUCCUCCUGAGCCAUUUGAUGGUUUACAUUCUGGUUCUCAUCACAAUUUCCCUGGCACAUGGAUACAAGUAAACAUUCAAAAUGCCCUGAGGUAUCUGACCUAAUGUCUUUUUUAAGGUCUUGUCCAAAUUCUGAUUGAUAACAUCUGACAAUUUCUUGGAUUACCUGAUUUGUUCUUGAGCACAAAAUUUCGAUCAAGACACGUUCCUGAGUUCCUGCUCCCUUCAUUGCAUUCCGUAAACUCCAGGCAUCAUAAUAUGUAGACGGCAUAAACAGAGCAAGGAUUAGUUCUUCCAUAUUUCCACUUAACUCUGAUUUGAGAUCUUUGAUUAAAUCCUUGCCAUACAUGGUCUUAAAAGCUGCUUUAAUUUUCUGCCUUUGAUCGUAGGAACAGUUGGCUACAACAUCUAUAAUUGCCUGUUCAUCUGUCCCAAAACCCUUCAUUGCUUUUCAGAGAAUUUCUGCAUUUUUCAAGGCAUCAAAGUUAGCAGUAGGUUGGAUUAUUCCUUGAGUGCCCUGAGUCAUUGCAGCAGACUGAUGAGGGUAAGGAGCCUGUCCUCCAGGAUACUGAGAAGGUAUGUGCCCUCCAGGAAAGCCACCUGGUAUUGGAACCUGUGCUGGGCCACCACCAUAGGACUGUAAUGGUGGCUGUGGAUAGUCAGAAAAGGCUAUUCCAUCUGGUGCAGCUCCAAAUCCUUGGCCUGGAGUAACUCCAGGAUAGAUGGGGCUCCUCCUAGCUGUGGAGCACCAGGAUAGCCUCCAGGGGCUGGUUAGCCUCCAGGCACAAAGUAGCCUCCAGCUCCUGGGUAGCCACUACUUGGUGCUGGUGGAUAGGCACCUCCUCCCAUUGGAGGGAAGCCACUAGGAUAAGGAGGGAUAUUGACCCGGUGGGGGAAAAGAUGACUCCUGACCUGCAGGAGGAUAUCCAAGGAAAGGUGGGUAGCCAGUGGGAGGAUAGCCUGGGUAUGACAUUCUGACUCCCAGGCAGCCAUACCACAGUCCAGCCUGGUCUCCCACAAGAUGGAGCUGGAGGUGGGC